rnacentral:rRNA from 1 species
AGAGUUUGAUCCUGGCUCAGAGCGAACGCUGGCGGCAGGCUUAACACAUGCAAGUCGAGCGGGCGUAGCAAUACGUCAGCGGCAGACGGGUGAGUAACGCGUGGGAACGUACCUUUUGGUUCGGAACAACACAGGGAAACUUGUGCUAAUACCGGAUAAGCCCUUACGGGGAAAGAUUUAUCGCCGAAAGAUCGGCCCGCGUCUGAUUAGCUAGUUGGUGAGGUAACGGCUCACCAAGGCGACGAUCAGUAGCUGGUCUGAGAGGAUGAUCAGCCACAUUGGGACUGAGACACGGCCCAAACUCCUACGGGAGGCAGCAGUGGGGAAUAUUGGACAAUGGGCGCAAGCCUGAUCCAGCCAUGCCGCGUGAGUGAUGAAGGCCCUAGGGUUGUAAAGCUCUUUUGUGCGGGAAGAUAAUGACGGUACCGCAAGAAUAAGCCC